CCUAGUGGAAGGGCUUGAAUUUAAGUCCCCAUCACUACUGCUUUUUUGGAGAUGUCAUGGCUAAAGGUGCAGAUCUGAUGUCAAAUGUCAUAUAUUAUGACAAAAAUGACAUUAAAGCACACCUUUGUUUGCUACUAGGGUAUCAAGGAGGGAGAUCAUUGCCACAGUAGCUUUCUGCUCUGAUUUCACCUGACUAACCUGGCAGCUGAGGGGAGUCAUUAUAAAAUUCUGAUCAGCCACAGUAGUGAAGCCCGCAGGAAACUAUGCCCAGAGCAGAUGGAGCCUUGGGAUGUCCUAUUGCUGCUUUUUAAAAGCAAGAACUGAAUUGUAACCAAAUGAUUGUGACCAAAUACACUUAUUUCUACAGAGUAGUGUUUUCAAAAGUUUCAGACUGAAUGUCCUA